UCGACCCUCCGAUCCAUUGCUCCAUUGAAAAUCUCUGCCAUGCCUCCUUGCUGGUCGUACUCUCUAACGUCGGCGUCCUUAGCUGGAACUCUCUAAUCCGGCUCCAUUUUUUUACCAGUCCAAAGACCGUGCUCGAUGCCGAUGAUUCCAUCUGGCGGUUCUCGAGUUCUGACGGCGAUCCUUAGCUCCUAGAGUCUUGCAAUCAUCAUCUCCGUCAAGUCCUUAAACCGUGCCUCGCCAGAGUGUGGAUGGAUCAUCACCGGACUUCUCUAGCUCUCUACUUAGCUUGAUUUCUCGUUUUGAUCAUUUCGAGCUUGAUGGAAAUGAUUUCACAUGCUAUUCAUUUGUGGAUUGAUCUAGAUUCAAUGAGCUACUUUUGGCCAUUUGGAAGUGUUAUCCGGUGGCCAGAAUAGCUAUUGAGCUUGAGGAUUGAAGAUGACAAAGAUAAAGCUCUCUAGAUCUUGAAUUCGAUGAAGUGAGAUUAAAUGGCAAAAGGAGUGGAAAGCCAAACUUCAAGGGAAAGUCUUUUAUUAUGACUGGCGGGAUAUAAGGCUCGGGGCUGGAAUUCAACCUCUAGAGCAUUUCAUUCAAGUAGGCAAAAUAGAACAACCCUUAGCUAGGGCUUCAGAGCAUAUAAGAUCCAAGAGGGGUUGGGGAGGUGUAACAGCCCAAUUCGAGGGAAGGAUUCGGCAACCAUGGGCUUUAGCGGCCCAAUUAGCAAUAUAAUUAGCCUCUCUCCUACAAUGCUGAAUAUGAAGAUUGGAGAAACGGGGGAUCAGCACCGCACAUUUAGCAAACAAAGCAUACUCUCCCACGGCGUCAAACUAGGGUGGUGCAUAGCAGCCACGAGUACCAGACAAUCAGAUUCCAGGAGUAGGUUUUCAUGCUCUUUCCCCUUCUACAGCAAAUGCUUGAGAGUGAGGAUUAGUGCUUGUACCUCCGCCUGUAGUGCCGAAGAAGCUUGGAUGCUACUGGUGAAGCCAUCGAACAGUGUUCCAAAAUGAUCACGACACACACACGCCAUGGCACCCUCAUUGCUUGCCGUUGGAUAAGACCCAUCGAUGUUGAUUUUCACUACGCUAGGCUCCAGUGGGCACUGCGCCAAAUUAGGGUUUGGAAGCUUCUUCCCUAGAUUCAACAUCGUUUGAAGACAGCAACGGGCGAUCCUUGCAUUACCGAGAGCCACCUCCACCACCUGUUCUAGAUUUGGGUGUAGCUACCGGAAGACAAAAUGAUUGCGCACCUUCCAGAUCUGCCACAGUAUGGAUGCAAUAGUCUCCAGAUCAAGUAAGAUGUCUCUGUUCUUGAUCGGAUCUGCAAGCCAAGAGUCUAUUCUAUUUGCUCCAUGUGUUGGUAUCGUGAUUUUGACUCGUGGGUGUGACCAAAUGUCUUGCGUCCAUGGGCACAAGAGAAAAACAUGUUCUGUUGUUUCUGGGAGUUGAUCUUGGCAUAACUUACAUAUUGGAUCGGGGAUGAUUCGUCUAUGGUAGAGGUUUUCCUUUGUAGACAGUGCAUUGUGGCAUAAGGACCACAUGAAUAUGCGAAGUUUAGGGACUGUCUUCAUGGUCCAUAUCUUUCUCCACAAUUUCUGUGGGAUUUGAUAGGAUGAGGAGGCUCGACCGUGAAUGUUGCUGUUUUCUAUAUGUUUGAUAUAAUUGUACCCACUCUUCAUUGUAUACAUUCCAGUUUGUGUCCCUUUCCAGAUGAGUUGGUCAGCUGUGGAGUGGGUUCGUAACUAGAGGGUAAGAAUUUCCUAAUUGAUAUGCAUUGUUUCUCUGUUUUUUUAUUUAUUUAUAAAAUCGUGUGAUAAAAAUCUAAAUUCAAUGUUUGGAUGACUUUUGUUCUUCAUAUCGUGAUCUGUAUUAUAUAAAAUUUCAGGAUGAAUGAAGCUCUUAGAUAGAUGAAAAUUACUUCGCAUUGUA